rnacentral:rRNA from 2 species
UGGGGAAUAUUGGACAAUGGGCGAAAGCCUGAUCCAGCAACGCCGCGUGAGGGAUGACGGCCUUCGGGUUGUAAACCUCUUUCAGUACCGACGAAGCGCCAAUAACGGUGGUGACGGUAGGUACAGAAGAAGGACCGGCCAACUACGUGCCAGCAGCCGCGGUAAUACGUAGGGUCCGAGCGUUGUCCGGAAUUAUUGGGCGUAAAGGGCUCGUAGGCGGUCUGUUGCGUCGGGAGUGAAAACUUACAGCUUAACUGUGAGCGUGCUUCCGAUACGGGCAGACUUGAGGUAUUCAGGGGAGAACGGAAUUCCUGGUGUAGCGGUGAAAUGCGCAGAUAUCAGGAGGAACACCGGUGGCGAAGGCGGUUCUCUGGGAAUAUCCUGACGCUGAGGAGCGAAAGUGUGGGGAGCGAACA